GAUACAGUUUGAAUAAAAUCUAGAAUUUGGUGGGAAAUUUGUAGGAAUCACAUAUAGGUAAUGUUUAAUUUUCAUUGAUUUGCUGCAUUUUAGAGUUUUAUUGCAUAUAAUAAAAUGCAUUUUAUUCAAUAUAGUUGUGUAAAGGUGUGAAAGUGAAGUGGAAGUAGAACAAGUAAUUAAUUUGAUUUUCUCAGUGGUCUUACUAAAGCAUGACUCUACUUGACUAGGACUGACUGCAAAAGAUGGAUGAUGGACUAUAUUUGACUACUUUUGCCCUCAGGGUAAAUUUUUACCUGAUGUCUCGCUAAAUGUAUUGCGAAGCCAUAUAUAUAAAAAAAAUAUACAUAUUGGCUAUAGGUCAAAUAUUUAUUGAAUUCUAUUUGAAAUUUUAAUUUUUCCAUCAAAUACGGUUAAAUUCCCUUAAGAAGAAUAUAAGUUUUUAACAUGUUACAAUAAUCUUAAUAAUAUUUUAAUGUAUUCUAUUUAUUACUCAGAUUAUUAGAUUCAUUCCAUAUUCUAAGAAUUAAUGUAAAUUUUAAUGGCUAGCCUUGCCUACCUAAAGGAACUUAUAAUACAACUACAAAGUAGCAAUGCGAAUUGGCGCAAUAAUAUAAUAAAAUAAGAAAAUAAAUAUUAAAAAAACAACGCAUAAUUUGAAACAUGGCGGCAAAAACAAAACUCAAGAUUUCAUUGAUGCCAACCGUAAUGGCGUUAGCGUGUAAUAUUGUCAGUCGACGAAAGCAAUACUUACUUUCCAAAUAAUCCUCAAGAUACAACAUUUUGAUACAAUAUGAUACGAAGACCGUUAACAGAAAUAACUCUAAAACUAGACGUUUUGCAAGAGUACGAAGCCUACAGAAGAAAUCAAGCCAAUAGUUCAACAAGUAGGUGCGAAAUGCGGGAAGAAACACCUAAUCAUUUAUUUGUAUGUACUGGAGCGCCUAAACCUGUUGAAGAAAUACAGAAUAGGAUAGGAUACAUACCUAAAAAGCCUAGAGGACCCAGUACCGUAUAAAUAAAAUAAAACAGCUACUUUUUUCUCAUUAAGAUCAUUUAUUAUGUACUUAAAAUUUUCGAAUAAAAUACAUUUUUAGAUGCAAAACACAUGAUUCUUAAUAAUAAUAUAAUUACAUAGCAAGUGUGAGUAUAAUUCUUAAUAAGUACUCUGUGCAUUUAGGUAACGUAAAUACUUUUAAUGGUUAAAAUGCAGUUCCUUUUUUUUCAUGAUUAUGUGACGCAAGAAAUUAGCUUUUUGCAAGUAGCUGCGGUACUCGUAAUAAAACCUUAAUCGCUG